rnacentral:lncRNA from 1 species
AAUAGAUACUUAUAUAAAGAUAAAACGAAUAUUUACUUAUAAUAAUAUAAUAAUAAUAAUAAAUACCUGAUGAUUGGGUAAAGGUUUCUUCCUCAAAGACUCAAGCAACGAGAAAUUAUCCACAAAAUACAAACGGACAUGAUUGUGAUUGAGACUCCCUUCAUCGCGGAAACAUUCCAGGCAGAUACUGUAAGCGGCGCUCCCGGUUUCAAAGCACUUCAUGCAAGCGAAAUACUCAUUGGUUAUGAAGAUUUUGCACUGGCCGCAAAUUGGCCUUCCACUUUUCAGUAUAUAGUAGAGAGUCAACACUUCGUUAAAAUCUAAACCUCCGCUUCUAUCGAUGUCUAGUUGAUUGAAGAAGUCACGAGUACGCAUGUUCUCAUCGUGUGCUUUCUGCGACAUGAAAUCUGAAAACUCCCUGUAACUCACCCUACGGUUUCCAUCUUUAUCCAUUGAUUGGAAAAAUUGGUUGAAUAAACUUCUUUCUUGAUCGGUUCCAGAAUUAUAAUACGCUAAAGCAACCUUUCUCAACGCCUCCAUUGCUGUUUCUUUUUUUGCUUAAUUUGCCAGAGUUUGUGAGGAGUGAAGACCUUUUUAUAAUUGAUCACGUCUUAGGCAAAAUGAUUAAAACCUCCUCACCCGCCGACCCCCUUCAUUUUCAGUAAAUUAACCGCUUCUCUUUCAUAUUUCAAAACCUAUAAAAGACCCCCGUUAUUAACAGUUUCUCUUAACUUCGGACUUAUGAUUAAUUUUUUAAUGGAUAAUUAAUUGCUUAAAUUAAUAAAAAGUAAUCAUACAUCGGAUUUUAAGGGUAAAUUAGUAAAAUACAAAAAAGUUGAAAGUUGUUUUUUCUAAUUAUAAGAAAUUUUUGAUGAAUUUUAAAACAAGAGGAAAAAAUGAUUAACUUUAACAAACAACAGAGGGGGUGUAAUCAUUUUCCAUUUAUAUUUCUCUAACUUUCAUGUAUGCCUGGUUUUUUUCGACAAGGGAAGAUUCUCAACUACUCAUUGAAGCAACCUAGUGUAUGUGCAUGUCUGCAUGAUUAAAAUAAAUCUUCUUGACCCCAGAAUACUGUGAUUAAAUUCUUUUAAUUAAUUUUUGAAAAUACGCUAUUAGUCAUGUAUUUGGUAGCAAGUCUGCAUAGAAGAAUAUGAUAAACAUAUUGAUGUUUCCUUAAUUAAUAGUAAUUAAUCGCGGAUUAAGAAGUGAUGAAUUAUAUAUAUGACGACGAUAUAUUUGUGAUAUACAUAGAAGAUGCCCUGAAAGAAUUCAACUUUCAUUUUUCAAUCAAUCAAUUAAAUUAGCAUUUGGCUCUGUACACGCCAAAGGAAAAUGAUAGUCAAAUUUUAAAGGGAAAUUUACAACCGUCCACCUGUUUGUUUUAUCUUUUUUCAAAAAUACAAAAAUAUAUAUUUUUUUUCAACGCGCCACCUGAAGUUUACUUUUUGUUGCACUCGUCCACUUCUGUUUAAUUUCCGUUAGUGAAUUUAACGGAAUGACCUUUUUACCCCUCAAAAUUACAAUUUAACCCAAAAUAAAUAGAAAUUAGAGAUAAAUUGGAUGGAUUUAAUUUUUUUCAAAGGUGGAUGCUAGAAAUUGGAGGAAAAUAGUGUUUGUUUGUUACUAAAUUUAGAAAAUUUGUAUUUAUUUUUUUGGAGAAAAACUAGUGUUUAUUGCUUGCUAAAUUUAGAAAAUUUGUAUUUAUUUUUUUUUCUUUCAAAAAAAUAAAUACAAAUUUUCUAAAUUUAACAAGCAACAAAUACUAUUUUCCUCCAAUUUCUAGCAUCCACCUUUGAAAAAAAUAAAAUUCAUCCAAUUUAUCUCUAAUUUCUAUUUGUUUUUGGUUAAAUUGUAAUUUUGAAGAGUAAAAAGGUCAUUUCAUUAACAUUCCGUUAAACUCACUAAUGAAAAUUAGACGGAAGUGGAUGAAUGCAACAAAAAAUAAACUUCAAGUGGCGCGUUGAAAAAAAAAAGUGUUUGUAUAUUUUUGAAAAAGGCAAAACAAACAGGUGGACGAGUGUAAAUUUUCCAAUUUUAAAAGUUUCAAGAAACAAAGAGGAGAAAUUGGAGAGUCUUCACUUUUGUUGGUUUUAACGGGUUUUGUAACAUUAUAACAAAGAUUUUUUGUUAUAGGCUACGGUGCAUAUUAUACUUAUAUUAUAUAAGUUGUUCUCGCGACAAGGUAUCAACGAUUGUUUAAAAGAUUUUAAAAAAUUUAAAAUUAUGGAAAUGUUAAAGGUAAAUGUUCUUGUAAAUUGUAAUACCUAUAGUUUGAUUUAAUUACAUAAUUAAUAUCUUUAUUUUUAAAAAAUAUUACUCAAAAUAUUUGUGUUUUUACUUUCAUACAUGUAUGUUUUAAUUUUUCCAGAGUAAACUAGUAGUUUUGUCUUAUAUAACUUUUAAAAAAAAUUCUAACAUAUAAUAGGUGAAAAAUUAUCCGACUAAAUUUUAAUGGAUCUCCAAAGACGUAAUCAAGCAGCUUUUAAAUAACUUUAUUUUGGUUGGCGACUCAAGUUGGAAUCUUAAGAAAAGUAAGGGGCUAAAAAUUCAAUUUGAGUUUUGUCCAAAAUGAAUUUUAAUGGAAACAAGUAUGUGACAUUGACAUUUGACAAGGACCAUUAGUCAGUCUUUAAAAAUAUAACGACUGACUCAAUGAUUAGUUCCGAUUAUAAGGGUGAAAAGAGAAUUUUUCAAUAUAUUAAAGAUGAACCUUAUGCGGUCCACGCGGGUUUGAACUAACAUACAAAGCAUUUCUUAGCGUUUCAAACUUGAACACUAAUUUUUUUUUUUUUUUUUUUACUAAAAAGUUCAAACGUUCAACAAAAGCUCAAACGUCAAAAGCUCAAACAUUUUUUAGCGUUUACCAUACGGAAGUUCAAACGUCAAGACCGAAAUUAAUAAAGCAUGUGGCAUGGAUGUGAGCCACCCAUAAACUAAUGUUUUAGAAUCCACAUUUUGCAGUUUUUGCCACAUUUUCCAAAUAAAAACAAUAUUUUAAAAGAAAAAAGGAAACUCUAUUGUUAAAGACUUAAAGUUCGUCUUUUAUUAACUACUCGGCUCAGCCCGAGUGGCCAGGGCUGCUGUCCUCCAACUUGGAGGGCAGCAGUUCGAACCCCCACAAAAGCAUUGUGGGGGUAUUUCCUUCCUCAAUUAAUUUGAGUGAAGGUAGUCUUCUCCCUUACCCAUAAGUGAGGAGUAGACAUCCCUCGAAUAUUUAUGAGGGUUAAAAUCUGGGCAGAGUUAUAAUCUCAUGUAUAUGAGUUGUAAUCUGAGCAAUAGUCUCAUAUGAUAAAAAAAAAAAAAGUUCAUCUUUUAUUAAUGAUUGCCGACAGAUGAUGCCUUGGAGCCUAAAGCUACAUACUCAACUGUUAUUGUUGGCACGCAAUAAUUCAUUGGCAAUAUUUGUAUUGAUUUAUUAUUAUAAUCUUCCCAAUCACCGGACCUUGGCACGUCGGCUACCUCUAUAUAUAUAUAUAUAUAUAUAUAUAUAUACAGCUGUAGUCCUGUGGACACAUUAAGGCUCCAAUUUCUAAUAAAAUCUAAACAUACUAAAAGAUACAUAGAUUUCAAAUAAUUAACAAACAUCCAGCAUAAAAGAUACGGAGUGUAUAGUGACGGUAGUCUAUACCUAUCUAUAUUAUUUCCAAUUUUAAAGUAAAUCUGAAUAGUGUUGCAUAUAUUGGCUUCAUUCAUUUUUGUCGUAUCAGUGAUACCCUACUGAGUACUUUUUUUUUUUUUUUGGGACAAGCUCUAGUGAGUACUUGGUUUAGGCGUUGAAGUUUCUUUUUGUUGGGUGAUCAGCGAGGAAGUUUCGCUAUUUUUAAUUUAUAAUUUUCUUGCUUGAGCACUUAAUCUCUCGGGUUUCCUACUUUACCACUUUCUCUCUCGGGGUCGGCGUUGGCUCAACUCCUGUCCGGUUCGUUUUGUCUUCCAAUGGCAUAUCGACACGCCCUAACUUUUUUUCAAGAAACGUGCAUCUAAAUUAUUAGUUUUAAAAAAAAAUUGAAUCAUGUCUUUUAACUAUUGAAUUUUCAAGUGGUAAAGUGCAACCUUUUUAGGAAUCAGUUUUGAAUUUGAUCUACUAAUAAAAUAAAAAAUUAUUUUAUUUGUUAACCUUAUGGGGCCACUAGAUUAGUGAGUUUCAAUAGGUGCACGAGUUAAUUAAGGGACAGUGACCACCCUUAAAACUAUAAAUAGAUGUGGAAGAGAUAAAAUCAAUGAUUUAACAUCCAUUCUCCUAUCACCAAUUGAUUUUUAAAGGUAUAUGACAACUUUUACUUUAAAACUCCGUAAUUAGACAUGUUGAAGCAUUUUGUGACUGGUGAGACCUUAUCAUUUUUUUUAUUGCAAUGUUCUACUGCUUCAUAGACGAUCAUUCAAUGAAAAUUAAACAUGUAAGCAUAUUAUGAGUUUAAUAUACAUGUUUAUGUGACAUUGUGAAAAUUGGUUGAUGAAACUAACAAAUGAUCUAAGACAGAUUACGCUUUGCUAUUUUAAGUGAGUCUAUACUUCAUAUACACUUUGCCAUUGAAUCAUGCAACAAUAAUUCACUUAAAAUGCAAUUUGUAAUUUGAAUGUAUUGUGUAAAAUGGGGCAUAAUAUCAUCCUAAAAUAAAUAUUUAUACACACACACACACAAAAGAAUCCCCAUGAAAGAAGUCAGGAACUGCGACAUAGAAUCCAUUCCUGUAGGGGUCUCCCGCCAUCUACAUUUGGAUCCCCAUGAAAGAAGUCAGGAACUGCGACAUAGAAUCCAGCUGCUGCAACCUUGUCUGCAAGCUUCCUUUGUUGUAGAAAGCAUCUGAUAUUAGCUCCCAGUCGAACACAGGGUAGCAAUAUGAUCGAGCAACCUGGCAGAUAAAUGAACACAUGCUUGUACAAUGUUUAUAAAUAGAUACCAAAUCACCGUACCAUUGACCCAGAGUUGUUUUCAUGGGUGUACAUAAUUUUAAAUUUUCAAUUAGAUACCCCCUGAAUAUGUUUACCAGUGAUUGAGGCAGGUUCCAAAAUGUACAAAUUUUUCUUAACCCGAAGAAGAGCAUGAAUAAUAAUAGCAAAGACAAAGACACGUAGAAUCAUAAAUUAAGAUAAGCUCACAAAACAAAUCAAUUAGCUGUGGAUGCAAGAGAAAGAAAUUAGAGCAAGUCAUACCUCAAGUUUGGAGCUUCAUAACCUGCAAGAUAAGGCGAAGACAAGUAAGAAUUAGAAGGCGAAGACAAGAAAGAAUUAGAAGCUUAUAGAGGCAGAAGAAUAAAGGUGAACAAAAUAGGUAGAGUCAAUACGAAAUGAAAUGGAGGACAAAGAGAACCGACAAACACCCUGAUUAACCAAUCAAAAGAUGCAUAAACACAAGCAACCCUGAUGAUAAAUUGAAGUGAGAGAAACAAAAUUAACUAGUGAAAACAAGAAAUGGAAAAAACAGUGAAACAUACACAGAAAACUAAAGCAAAAGACUAAAACAAAAGCAGCCCAGAUGUAAUUUGCCCAAAUAAACACAACCCGGAUCAUAAUUUGCAGUGAAAAUAUAAGAAGUGAAUGGACAUGAUACUGAGAUGGGUCAGGUACCGAAAACGUCGGAAAUGAGAAGAGCAGCAAGCUUGGAGUCAGGAGAGCCAGUGACGUAAGUGUUGAGUCCACCAAGUUUCUCAACAUGACCUGCUCCACUGUUUGGAUUCAGUGUUGGUGGAUUUGCACAGCACUGAGGACCUGACAUUUUUCUCCUGCUUAUGCUUAACCUUCCUUACACUAGUGUUCAGAAAACGCUCUCUUCUUCUAUCACAAACGUUUAUGAUUUUAUCCAACGGAGAGACUUACGUCUUGUAUAUCUAUUUAUAUAGAGUUUCAGCAUGUUCACUGCCGGGACUCUAUUUCCCUCCCAAUUGUUUAUACUUUCAAAAAGAAACAUGUGGGUUAUGGUUCGUGAGAGUUAUAAAUUAUUAUGCCGGAAGCCUGCGUCACGCCGUUGCAUUUUUCUAUUUAGCUUCCGACAUUUUUUAGUUAGAGUUAUGUAGCUUCCGACAUUUUUUUAUUUGAAGAGUAACAAUUUCUUAUUUUUCUUGGGCCACACGCCACUCCGUUUUAUGUAUAGGUUCGUUGAUUCGGAAGAACAAUGUUUGCUUGGUCCAUGCCACGAAUCUUUUGCAUCAAGUAAUGGAAUACUAACUAUCGAGCUGCCGGGUCAUUGGCAUGUCAUUGGUACUUCAUAUAUAAAAGUUCGGAAUAAUGUUUGGUCCAUGCCACUAUUCUCUGCAAAAAUUUUAAAUAAUAGAACGAUCAACAUUAUAACAUUUUUUAACUUUGACAGAAACCUGUUAAUUUCUUAAUUUGACCAAUUGGUUUUGCAAAUAAUUUUAUUUGACUAGCGUUCCAGAUCCUUAUACCCACUAAUUCUUGAGCCGUUAAUAAAUUAUGGAAUUUUAAAAGUUUAAAUAUUUAUUUAGUAUGACUUAUAUAACAGCCAUUAGUAUUUAUUUACUCUUAAUUUUUUUUCAAAAAGAUUUAUGAGUAUUUAUUUCUAUUUUCAGAAUAAAUAUUAUUAUGUUAAGAACUAAAUAAAUUAUUUUACAUCUACUAAUAAAAGUUUAAAGAGAUUUAAAAAUAAAAAUAAACAACUUAUAGCCUGUUUAAAAAGUACAGUUGUCUAAAAUAUCCAUUAUUUAUUUACACUUUUAUUUCAUUGUUUUCAUAUUAUAAUAUUUAAAAUUAUCUAUUAAUAUAAUUUUAUAAAUUUUAAUUAAUGAGUAAACAACUAUUUUUUUUUUUAACUGAAAACCUAAUAAAAAUCCUAAAUGAAUAAACUUUAUUUGAGAAGCUAUAUGCCUAAAUUCAUCAAAAUUAUUCACACUUAAAGCAAAAUUGAUUAGAGUUAAGCAGCACUACACUUUUAUUUCAUCUAAUAAAAAACUCUCUUAACUAGCGAAUCGAAUCGAAUUCACCCAUUUAUUUAACGAAUCAAUUUUUUCAAACCUAAACCCAUUUAAUUCUCAUCGAAUUGAAUCGAAUAAACGAUUCCUGACCCAUAUUGCCACCCCUACUUUUAACUAACAAAGGAAAAUUUUUUAAUACUAUCAUGGAUCGUUUGUAGAAAUACGUGGGUCUCUAUAACAAUAGACUGUAGUUUAAUAGUACAAGUAUGUACUAAAGAAAUUGUACAUAAAUACAUGCACAAUAAACUACAAGUAUGCACUGAUAAAGAUCACUAAGAUCCUAAAUAUCUUUCUCAAUCAACCCCAUUAUAAAUCAAAACCAAGGUAAUAUCAUGCAUAUAAAUAUGGCAACUAUUAUUGCCAUUGUGACAUGUACAGAUGCCAAGUAUCACGGCCAAUAUGGUAUCAAAAUAUAGAAGAAAUCCUCAAUUUAUAGUGAAUGAUUAUUUUCCUUUUAUGCAAUCUAUGUGCAUUCUCUUAUAAAUUGGGCAUUUGAGCUUUGAAUAAGAAUGAAAUUUCUAUUUUGUAUAUUGUUUCUAAAAAGUUUUCAUGCACAAAGUAAGGUCGUCGAUUGCUUCGUCAACUCAGGUGUACUUAUUUCGACUAUAAUAUAUAUUUGGUUCUGAUGGGAACUUGGGUUGUUGGUCCAUGCUAAUAUAUAUAUAUAGGGUAAUGCUAAGUUACAUGCAUGUACCUUACAUCCCUCUCACAUGAAUAGUGUAUGGAUACUAUUCAUGUGAGAGGGAUGUAAGGUACAUGCAUGUAACUUAGAGGGAUCCAUAUAUAUAUAUAUAUAUAUAUAUAUAUAUUUUGGGUCUGACCGAGGAGUUUCCAAGUAUUUCAACAACAAUGCGGCACGCACGCCAAUCACACAAACAAGUCCUUCUCUAGUACGGGGCCUCACUUUUUUCAUGCGGUUACGCUUUUAAACCACGAAGUUUAAUAGAGUGAAAGUGUAACGCUAUUAAACUGCACAACCUUAAAGCACAUUCAAAAGUAACUUUAUUAAAUUGCAAGACUUAACAGCAUGUCUGCAUGUGGGGAUAGUAGAAUAACCCAUAUUUGGAUGAACCUGGAAAAUCCAGGUCAGGUUCAACCCAUACCGUAGCAAAAUAUAUUUGGUAUUUGGAUGUCAUUUUAUGAACCCAUUCGAAUCCAAGACCGGGUCCAAUUUUAGGUAAAUCCGGAUAUCAAGAACCCAGACCCAGAUUAUUUUAUUUUAAUAUUUAAUUAAUUAUUUUUAAAUAUUAAUUAAUUAAUUAUUGUUAAUUAUUAUUUAUGAGUAUAAAAGCAAAAAUGAGAAAAACAAAACAAACCCUACAUCUCACAGCCGCCGUUUCUAGUCCUAUUCAUUGCCUAAAUUUCAACAAAUGAAUUCAACAUCAUCGUCGUCGCCCAAUUGAUCAUCACCCAUCAAUCAUUAGCAACACAACAUCACCGCCGUGGCCACACUUCUGUGCAAGUUUCAAGAAUGGACUUGAUACCAAGACAGAGAAGUCAAGGAAGCAAUUGAAGGAAACGGAGAACAUGGCUAAGAAGAUCAGUGGUGUAAAGAAGACCAAGGCCUUAGAUGCUGCCAAGAAGAAGUGAGCAAUUCAUUCUUUUGUGGUGUCGAAUCCAACUUUCGGUGAUGGAGUUCUAUGAUAGUCUUUGUUGGUAUAGUUUCUGAAAUGAAAUAUAUUGUGUUGUGGAUUUUGGUGUUAUUUGAUGUUUACGUAGUUAUAUUUCCAGAUUUUGAGUACUAAAAAAGAGAAAAAAUCGUUUAUAUUGAGAUUUUGGUUUUCGGAAUCAUUGGGUUUUAUUUCCAGUUUAUGCGAUUCCCCAUCUUCCUCAUCUAUUUCAAGAGAUCCGUGACUUUAUUCUAUCUCCUUCUGCAAUUGCCAAACAGCACAAAAGCCGAAUGCUUGAUUUGUUUUUUAAUUUUGGGCAUUUAGUACAUCUAUCCGCGUUUGGAACCCGGAAUCCAGAAAUUCGAAUUUUUUCGGGUUGAGCCCGUACCGGAUCAGGAGCCUAAAAAUGGGGUUUAUAUCCAGAUUCGGUAUGCUAAAUUAUCAUUUGAGUCCGGAACCGAAAAGCCUAAACUCGGAUUCGAAUUUUUCCAUCCCUAUCUGCAUGAAAAAAAGAGAAGGUGCCCGCACUUGAGAAUGAUAAUAUAUACACAGAUAUAUAUGUAUACAUACCUGUAUAUAGUCCUUUAUUAAUGUGAGCGCCCUCAUUUUUUUUCAUCUAUCACGUUAUUAAUCAUGCAAUUUAAUACAAUUAUUUUGAUUAACUAUUGAACUACAUGGCGUUUUAUAGUAUGUCCACCAAAUAGGGUGUCUGCAUCUUAUAUCAUUAAUAAUCAAAGAAAAAAAUUUAAUAUGGAAUCAUAUGAAGUGAUUAUUAAGACUGACUGUGAGAUUCAUUCUUCUAAAUUAUUGCUUGAUGCGUCACAUUAAGGGAUCUGUCCAUGACUAUGUAGAUGAGUCUGAAAACUUUGAUGAGACCGAAAAGUUUUAGCAUUGAAAUUAACUAUUGAAGCAAAUUGUCUUUUAUAAAUAUACAAAUCAGUUUAAUCUUAAAUUUUAUUGAAAUAUGAAAGUGAAUUCAUGCAGCCCUUGAUACCCAAAACGGAGUACCAAAAAUAAAAAUAGAGACAAAAGUUAAACUAAAAAACAGCCGCACGUACGUGAAGUCAUGGGUUCGUGGUCAUGGGUUCGAACCCCCACAUUGCAUUGUGGAGGUUUAAUUUUCUUCCUCAAUUUGAGUGAAGACAAUCUUUUUCCUUUCGAAAUGUGACUGGAGUAGACUUCCCUUGAAUAUUAGAGAGGAUAAAAAUCUGGGCGAACUUUAUAAAAAUUGAUGUAAACUAGUCCCAGUAAUAAUCUGAUUUGUAAAUAUCAAUUGUAAUUCAUAUAAUAUGAGUUGUACUUUUGAGCAAUAGUCUUGUGUAAUAAAAAAAACAUACCCGCACGCUAAAGCCAAAUUAACUUGAAAACAUACAUCAAGAAAUCUAAACAUUGCACACAGCUGAUAUAUUCUUCAUCUUCAGGAUAGCUAGGAUGUACGACUGCAGCCUCCUUCUGUGAAUAUAUUUGAAGUGUGCAAGCCUCUCAUAAUUAAACAAGCGGCAAUAAUGUUUGCAAUGGGAAGUGCAGCUUCGAAAACUCUAAGUGCGGCUUGCCAUGGAAACUAGAAAUCAAUAAAUAAUUUUAACAUGAAGAAAUUCACUAUCGGACUUUAGAUAGAUCAACAAGAAAUUCACUCCCACAAUAUAUAAAAAUCAACACGGCUCCUCAGUACUAUAUCCAAAUUUAUAAAAAUGCUAUGCACCAAAUUAAAUAAUCGAGUGAUUAUUCAAAAUUAAUUAAUCAAAGUUUGGUCAAACUCACCCUUCCUACCGCUGGGGUGUUUGAAUUAUAAGGAAUAACUGUAAGAUUUGAAGGACUUUCUGAAUGAUCGGGCCGACUCGUGGGGGUCCUGAUGCUUCUGAAUAUUAAAGGCCUUUCUGAAUGUUCGGGCUGACUCGUGGCAGUUCCUUGGGUCCUGAUGCUUCUGAAUAUUGAAGGACUUCCUGAAUGAUCGGGCUGACUCGUGGCAAUUCCUUGGGUCCUGAUGCUUCUGAAUAUUGAAGGACUUCCUGAAUGAUCGGGCUGACUCGUGGCAAUUCCUUGGGUGCUGAUGCUUCUGAAUAUUGACUGCAAUCAAUUGCAAAGACAAUACAAGUUAUAUAAAUAGGCAAUUGAUUUCAAAAAUUAAAAUCUUUAAUUAACCAAAGUUUGGUCAAACUCACCAUUCCCUCCGCAGGGAUAUUUGCAUUGUUACGAGCAAUUGCAACAUGUGAAGAACUUUCUGAACGACUGCGCUGAUUCAUGCUGAUGCUUCUGAACAUUGACAGCAAUCAAUUGCAGAGUCAAAACAAGUUUUAUAAAAUAGGCAAUUAAUUUCAAAAAUUAAAAUCUUCAAUUAGUAUAUAGGUGAAUGCUUUUUUAGUGCGUUAUAUUUUGAAUUAAGUGUCAACUCCCUUGUCUUGGGCUUAGAGGGCUUUGUUUUGCCUUCGGCUUCAACUACGUUUGCUUCGAAUAGAUGGCACCCAUUAUACGAGAUUAAAAAAAGACAUUCGAUUCUAUAUUUUAAAAAACACCAAAAGAUACUAAUACUAUUAAAUAUAUAAUAUUUUUCUCAUAUUUUUUUUUAUUUUUCUAAUAAUACUCUUGCAACAAUAUAAAAAUAUUAAUUAAGUUAUCUAUAAAAAAAAAGUUAUUUAGCAAAUUACCAAUAAUUAUUUGUCUAAAGAAAUUGAUAUUUUUCAUACACUUGCAAUAAUCUUUCUAAUAAAUAUUUAUAAAUAGAUAAAUUACAAACUUAAAGCUACAUCUAAUAUCUUGUUAUCUUGUUAAUAAUUGUAAAAAAAUUAUGUUACCUAAUUAAUCCUAAAAGAAAAAUAAUAAUAACAAAAUUAUUUUACUUGUAAUGUUAAUCUUUAUUUUAUUUUUAAUGUUAAUUUACUAAAUUAACAUUUUUUUUCUUUUCAUUAGCAUCACCAAGAAUAUUGUUGCAUGGAUGUUAUCAUAAAAACAAGGAAAAAAUAAGGGUACAAUAGUAAGGGUAUUUUAAGAUUUUUUUUAAAAUAUAGAAACAAAACAAAUAUUUACUCAUAAUAAUAUAAUAAUAAUAAAUACCUGAUGAUUGGGUAAAGGUUUCUUCCGCAAAGACUCAAGCAACGAAAAAUUAUCAACAAAAUGCGAACGGCCAUGAUUGUGAUCGUGACGCCCUUUAUCGCAGAAACAUUCCAGGCAGAUACUGUAGGCAGCUGUCUGGGGUUCAAAGCAGCUCAUGCAAGUGAAAUACUCAUUGGUUAUGAAGAUUUUGCACUGGCCGCAAAUUGGCCUUCCACUUUUCAGUAUAUAGUAGAGAGUCAACACUUCCUUAAAAUCUAAACCUCCACUUCUAUCGAUGUCUAGUUGAUUGAAGAAGUCACGAGUACGCAUGUUAUCAUCAUGUGCUUCCAGCGACAUGAAAUUUGAAAACUCCCUGUAACUCACCCUACGGUUUCCAUCUUGAUCCAUUGAUAGGAAAAAUAGGUUGAAUAAACGUCUUUCUUCAUCGGUUCCAGAAUUAUAAUACGCUAAAGCAACCUUGCUCAACGCCUCCAUUGCUGUUUCUUUUUUUUGCUUAAUUUGCCAGAGUUUGUGAGGAGUGAAGACCUUUUUAUAAUUGAUUACGUCUUAG